rnacentral:ncRNA from 1 species
UUAAAAUUUCAUUCACCAUAUCUAUAAUGAGAAGAAUGCUAAACUUGUUUGGAAACUAGAAUGUCGCAUGAAACCCUAUCUAAAGGAUAUUGUGACACAUAUGCUACAAUGACUAGAACAAAGGGUUGUGACCCCGUGACAGAAAUCUAACCUCAAAAAACAGGCCUUAAUUUGUAUUGCAAGAUGCAACUCGCCUGCAUGAAAUCAUAAUUUCUAGUAAUCGUCGGUCAACCAUACAUCGGUGAAUCCAUUCCCGAGCCUUGUACACACCGCCCAUCAGACUAUGGGAUUUUUCCAUACCCCAAGUCAUUACCUUAACCACAAGGAGGGGGAUGUUGAAGGAUAAAGGAAGAACUCCAAAAACUAUUGAAUGUCAACUUUG